rnacentral:rRNA from 1 species
GAUCCUGGCUCAGGACGAACGCUGGCGGCGUGCCUAAUACAUGCAAGUAGAACGCUGAAGGAAGGAGCUUGCUCUUUCCGGAUGAGUUGCGAACGGGUGAGUAACGCGUAGGUAACCUGCCUGGUAGCGGGGGAUAACUAUUGGAAACGAUAGCUAAUACCGCAUAACAGUAGAUAUCGCAUGAUAACUACUUGAAAGGUGCAAUUGCACCACUACCAGAUGGACCUGCGUUGUAUUAG